rnacentral:rRNA from 1 species
UGACUCAAAGUCGUGCACGCCGGAGUGUCCUCUCACAUAAUAAUCCAUCUCACCCUUUGUGCACCACCGCGUGGGCACCCUUUGGGAUCAGACCGAUCUCGGAGGAUGCUCGCGUUUUCACACAAACCCCCCUUAUAAAAGUGUAGAAUGUCCUCAUUUAUGCGCUAACCCGCAAUCAAUACAACUUUCAACAACGGAUCUCUUGGCUCUCGCAUCGAUGAAGAACGCAGCGAAAUGCGAUACGUAAUGUGAAUUGCAGAAUUCAGUGAAUCAUCGAAUCUUUGAACGCACCUUGCGCCCCUUGGUAUUCCGAGGGGCACACCCGUUUGAGUGUCGUGAAAAUCUCAACCUCCUUGGUUUCUUCUGGAGACCAAAGGAGGCUUGGACUUUGGAGGCAUUUGCUGGCAUCUUCUCUCUUUUGAAGGCCAGCUCCUCUUAAACAAAUUAGCGGGGUCCUCUUUGCCGAUCCUUGACAUGUGAUAAGAUGUUUCCAUGCCUUGGUUUCUGGCUCUGUUGCUUUUGGGACCCGCUUCUAACCGUCUUGACCUUGCAUCGAGACAAUGUUCGAGCUCGUCUCCCUUCUCGGAAGACUC